rnacentral:rRNA from 1 species
GACGAACGCUGGCGGCGUGCUUAACACAUGCAAGUCGAACGGAAAGGCCCUGCUUUUGUGGGGUGCUCGAGUGGCGAACGGGUGAGUAACACGUGAGUAACCUGCCCUUGACUUUGGGAUAACUUCAGGAAACUGGGGCUAAUACCGGAUAGGAGCUCCUGCUGCAUGGUGGGGGUUGGAAAGUUUCGGCGGUUGGGGAUGGACUCGCGGCUUAUCAGCUUGUUGGUGGGGUAGUGGCUUACCAAGGCUUUGACGGGUAGCCGGCCUGAGAGGGUGACCGGCGACAUUGGGACUAAGAUACGGCGCAGACGCGUACAGGAGGCAGUAGUGGGGAAUAUUGCACAAUGGGCGGAAGCCUGAUGCGGCAACGUCGCGUGCGGGAUGACGGCCUUCGGGUUGUAAACCGCUUUCGCCUGUGACGAAGCGGGAGUGACGGUAAUGAGUAAAGAAGCACCGGCUAACUACGUG